rnacentral:lncRNA from 1 species
GCAGGUAUGUUGUGAACGCUGACUACUGAAUCAGAUGCCUGCGCCCGUCUCUGUCUGGGCAUCAGGAACCGGCGUCAACACGAGACCUGGCCGCGGUGAAGGCUCAGUGAGGACUGCAGGACGCUGCGGCUGCCAGCUCUCCCUACGGCGCACAGGGGGCGCAGGUCGAGACAGGGCGUCCCAGCCCCCGCUCUCUCAGGAAGGCAAAGAAGGGGACCAGGCCGGCAGAGCCUCUCAGGGCAGAGCGGUGAGGAGACAGGGCCUCAGUCCUCCGGGUCCCUCCGGUGAGAGGCGGGCAGGCUCGGGUUCCGCCCCCUCCCAGGGCGGCAGUUCACAGCAUCGGCCGGCAGAGGGCAGCAGAGGCCAGCUCGUGGCAGACCAAGCCCAGGGCCUAGCGCAGAAGCGGGUCCUGGGCCUGAGUCCCGCUGGCUUCCCGGGUGCAGGCUCCACCAGGGAGAAGCAGCGGCCCUUCCUCUCUCUGGCUUGCCCUGGGGAGAGGGGCGAGAGGAGGCAAUUCCGAAAGCCCCUCAUUGUGCGGAGUGGCUUUUUCUUUCUUUUCUGCAUCACAUGCACUGAAUGCCAUUUUUCAAAGUGCUCCCAGAGGGGCGGGCAGCCAGGUGAUUUCCCAGAAGCCGGAGGAAGAGCCACAGGACGCAAGGCCCACAUAGCUCAGGGGACUUCAGGGAGGGCCACACCACUGCUGCUUACAGGAACUCGGAGCUUCCUGCCUUGGCAGUCAUCCGGGGAGAAUUGUUACAGCACGGAUGCCUUAUCUGAUCUCUCCUUGGGAGCCUCCCUCCGCUCGCUCUGUGGGACUGAAGGGCUGGAGGCCUGUGCCAGUGUUAGCAAAACAUUUGGAGUCACCGAGCCUGCGACGAGAGUGGCACUGGAGCACUGGAGGUCGCAGUGCUGAGCAGGCUCUGCCUGCCUCGGCUCCCUGACCCUCAGCCAGUGUCCUCGGCUGUGAAGCAGAGGACAGACAGCCAUGGCAUGCUGUGAAUGCCCGACGUGCACCGUUGUAAUCUGUGCAGAGGCAGCAGUGAUGCCCAAGACCCCUCUGGGGCUCGGCGGGCCAGGGACUACCACUGUGUCCUUCAAGACAGUCGUCGGGACAGUCGUCAACACAUGAGCUUUGCAUGUGAGCAAGCAGAGGGGUCACUGCGCCUGCCAACGACUGAACGAGGGCCCAGUGGGCCAAGCAGAAAC